rnacentral:lncRNA from 1 species
AGGCUGUCCUCGAACUCCUGGGCUCAAGCAGUCCUCCCAUGUCAGCCUCUAGAUUAGCUGGGACUAUUCGGCACACACCACCACACCCAACGAAGUGAAUAUUUUAUAUGCCAGCUGGCCGGUAUUACACCAUUCCAUCCCAAAUCUCCCCUCCAAACUUGGUGAAAAUCAUCUGACCAUUUUUACAGAUUAGAACGAAAGCAAACAAGCUCUCACUCUGUCUGCCCCCAGCACGAGGCUGUCCACACGGAGCUUUUGGAUGAGCUGUACGAGGCGCUGGCGGAGACCCUGAUGGCCAAGGAGUCCACCCAGGGCCACUGGAGCUAUUUGCUGCCCUCGGAAGGCUCGGUCACACUCUCCGAGCACAGCCAUCAUCUCCCACGGUACCACAGGCCUGGUCACAUGGGACGCUGCCCGCUACCUUGCAGAAUGGGCCAUCAAGAACCCGGCAGCCUUCACUAACAGACGUGCUGUAUUGCCCAGAAGCCAUCGUGUCGCUGGUCAGGGUCCUGCGGAGGCUGGCUGCCUGCUGGGAGCACCAGCGGGCUCCUGAGGUCUACAUGGCCUUUACCGUCCACAACCCAGAGACGUGCCAGCUGUUCACCACUGAGCUAGGCUGGGCUGGGAUCAGAUGGGAAGCGGAAGCUCAUCAUGACCAGAAACUGUUUCCCUAUGGAGAGCACUUGGAGAUGGCAAUGCUGAACCUCACACUGUAGGACUCAUACACGACUCCAAUGGGAUUGUUAGAAUCAAAUCACUCUCGUGGGAAGAAUUUUUAUAUGGGAAAGCGGAUAAAACUUUCAUUGGACUGGAAUGUUUGGAGAAUGUUAAAUUCCAAAUCAGGAACCACAAUCCACCCUCUAAUAAGACAUCGGCUAUCUAAGCGUGUGGGUGCCCCCUUUCUGCCAGCAGUUCUGGUUCUUAAGAAAAUCACCAUAAAUCAGACAUGAAAAUUCUGGCUCCAAAAGUAGCAUUUUUUUGUGCAAAUAAAAACGUGUGUAUCAAGUAUGACGUUCCCCCAACGUGGACACACUCGGUUCCUCACAAAGCCAAGCCCGCUGCAGCUGCCACAUCCCUGGACACACUCGGUUCCUCACAAAGCCAAGCCCGCUGCAGCUGCCACAUCCCUGGACACACUCGGUUCCUCACAAAGCCAAGCCCGCUGCAGCUGCCACAUCCCUGGGCUUAUGGUGCAGCGGGUGCUUUUUUCAAGACAGGAAUCAAAGUGUUAGGAACAUGGCAGAAAGGUGACACCUGGAGACCAAAUGCAGGAUGAGAAGUACUGCAGAGGUCACAGGGAAGUCACAGAACAGUAAUACGCUAGCAGGGACAUGGGGCGUGAAGAACAGAAGAAGACAGGAAGCAUUUCAGAGACUCCAAAGAAGAAAUCAGGGCCAACCACAGCUUCCCGGGUCAUUCACCAGGUGGCACCACUGCCGUCAUUUCAGCUUCUGGCCACUGGGAGGUGCUGCUGGAAAGGGUUUGCCCUGAGACUCCAAGAAGAAGCUGCGGGAAGGACAGCAGGGGCCCUGGGGUUUUAGCCUCUGGCCCAGGAGUUAUGUGUCCAUAACCAAAGGGAGCACAGUCUGCACCCAGCUCUCAUCCCAUCAGAGCUGCUGUGACUCCCGCAGGUUCUUCCAGAACUGGUUUAGCUUGCCUGCAGGAUCAGGAAAGUUUGAGAAAAGCAUCUGCAAAAUACUGAAGAGCAGAGCUUACCUCAUUGCCUGUCCCCACCCCAUUCCAGGUCACCACCUGGAUGACCCCAGCUCCCCAACCCAACAACAACCCCUCCCAAGUCCCUAACUCCCUCACUUGGACUUGAGACCCUUCACACCCCAGCAGCGCUCCGCCUCCAUCUUGACAUCAUGCUUUCUGGAAACUUCCCCGUAUGUCCCACUUUCCCACACUUGGUGCCCUGGAGCACCUUCCGGCCUCUACAUGAUGUACGUUCCCCUGUGAGCACCCUCCUCUCGGCCUCUGGCCAACACAGUCCCACCCAUCUGUGGGUAACAAGGGGGUGUUCUUUUCAGCCUUGCUAAACUGUCUGAAUCAAGGAUCACAAACUACAGCCUGCAGGCCAAAUCCAGCCCACAGCCUGUGUUUGUAAAUAAAGCUUUAUUGGAACAAAG